rnacentral:misc_RNA from 1 species
CGCAGCCGCGGUAAUUCCAGCUCCAAUAGCGUAUAUUAAAGUUGCUGCAGUUAAAAAGCUCGUAGUUGAAUUUCGGGACUAAUAUGUCGGUCGUGCCUCGGUACGUACUGGUAUUUUUGGUUUCUCCCUUCUGACGAACCUUGAUGUCAUUAAUUUGGUGUCUUGGGAAAUCAGGACUGUUACUUUGAAAAAAUUAGAGUGUUUAAAGCAGGCUCACGCUUGAAUACAUUAGCAUGGAAUAAUGAAAUAGGACGUUUGAUUCUAUUUUGUUGGUUUCUAGGAUCGACGUAAUGAUUAAUAGGGAUAGUUGGGGGCAUUAGUAUUCAAUUGUCAGAGGUGAAAUUCUUGGAUUUAUUGAAGACUAACUACUGCGAAAGCAUUUGCCAAGGAUGUUUUCAUUAAUCAAGAACGAAAGUUAGGGGAUCGAAGACGAUCAGAUACCGUCGUAGUCUUAACCAUAAACUAUGCCGACUAGGGAUCGGAUGAUGUUAAUUUUUUAAUGACUCAUUCGGCGCCUUAC